GCGGGUAUAGAAAAAUUGGUAACCUCACUAGUUUUCCAAACUAAAUUUUGAGGGUUCAAAUCCCUCUACCCGCUC
rnacentral:tRNA from 1 species